AACAUAUUAAAAGCACCGGUGUCUGUACGAUCACUGAAGUUAAGCGACAUCGAGCCUGGUCAGAACCUCGAUGAGUGACUACUUGGGAAUAACAGGUGUUGUAAG